UACGAAGGGGGCUAGCGUUGCUCGGAAUCACUGGGCGUAAAGGGUGCGUAGGCGGGUCUUUAAGUCAGGGGUGAAAUCCUGGAGCUCAACUCGAGAACUGCCUUUGAUACUGAAGAUCUUGAGUGCGGGAGAGGUGAGUGGAACUGCGAGUGUAGAGGUGAAAUUCGUAGAUAUUCGCAAGAACACCAGUGGCGAAGGCGGCUCACUGGCCCGAUACUGACGCUGAGGCACGAAAGCGUGGGGAGCAAACAGG
rnacentral:rRNA from 1 species